UGCCUGAACCUGGGAGGUAGAGGUUGCAGUGAGCCAAGAGCGUGCCACUGCGCUCCAGCCUGGGUAACAGAGUGACAGCCUGUCUCAACAAAAAAAAAAAAAAAAAAAAAGAAAAGAAAAAGAAUGUUAUAUAAAUGGAAUUAUACAUGUCACAUUUGGGGACUGGCUUUUUCUGCUCAGCAUAAUUCCCUGGAAAUUCAUCUAGCAGACCUAGAUAGUUUUGUUGUUGUAGUAACAUGAAGUGGAUCUAUUCCUCUGGUCAUACCAUUCCAAAUCUAAAUUUUUAUGCAGGGAAUAGAGGUACACUGUUUUGGGGGAUAUUUAUCUUAAGGGAUCUCAAACAAUUUUUUGAAUUGUUAACAUGAGACUGUCUUCUUUCAAAGAGCCUGUGUACCAUCCAGAAAGACUGAGUAGGGGGCCAAUAUUAUAUUCCAGACUCUAUUUUUACUCAGAUAGAACUGAACAUAUGGGGUACAGUAGUGGUACAGUUUAUCACUAGAUACAUUUUAGUUUGCCUUUUUGUCUUAAAUGUCUUAAAUGUAAAAAUUUAAAGAAAAAUAGAUAUUCCUAUGGGGGCUUUUUAAAUUUCUUUAAACUGCUAUGGACAGACUUGUAAUUUUUUUUUUUUUUUUUGAGACGGAGUCUUGUUUUGUCGCCCAGGCUGGAGUGCAACUCCUCAAGAAAAAACAAACAAACAAACAAAAACUGCAACUGUACUCCCUAAC
rnacentral:lncRNA from 1 species